rnacentral:misc_RNA from 1 species
GCUUAUCAAUCAACUGCUUCGUAGAAAUGGAAAACAUAUCAUAUAUCGAGCUUUUCAUUAUAUUGCUUGACAUUUUAUUGUGUGAAUUAUUUCGAUAUAAGGUCGGUUACUUGCAGAAAUUUUUCUCAAGAUUUUGUUUCUCUAUCCGAUCCAAACUUAGCUUUGGUAAGUCAAAGGUGUGCGAAGAGAACAAGAACCAAGAUUCUGAGUCGUCCAACCAGCAGGAUUACUUUAGCAGGAGAGAUGAUAGGAACCUCUGCAGAGAAGAGGUGGAGAUG